UGGGGAAUAUUGCACAAUGGGCGCAAGCCUGAUGCAGCCAUGCCGCGUGUAUGAAGAAGGCCUUCGGGUUGUAAAGUACUUUCAGCGGGGAGGAAGGGAGUAAAGUUAAUACCUUUGCUCAUUGACGUUACCCGCAGAAGAAGCACCGGCUAACUCCGUCCCAGCAGCCGCGGUAAUACGGAGGGUGCAAGCGUUAAUCGGAAUUACUGGGCGUAAAGCGCACGCAGGCGGUUUGUUAAGUCAGAUGUGAAAUCCCCGGGCUCAACCUGGGAACUGCAGCUGAUACUGGCAAGCUUGAGUCUCGUAGAGGGGGGUAGAAUUCCAGGUGUAGCGGUGAAAUGCGUAGAGAUCUGGAGGAAUACCGGUGGCGAAGGCGGCCCCCUGGACGAAGACUGACGCUCAGGUGCGAAAGCGUGGGGAGCAAACAGG
rnacentral:rRNA from 1 species